UGAAUAGCAGGGCUUGGUCUAAAAAUAUCUCCUCCACUGACAUACCACAUGGGUUGAUAUUCCUGCUGUCAGAGGCACACCUUGAAAUUAAGGUGUCUUCCUACAAAAAGUCUUGUUGCUAAGUUCAGACACUGUCUGAGAUGAGGUAUUUAUAAUUCCUGUCCCAAAUUUGGCUAUAAGCUUCAAGAAUACUGAGACCUGGCUUGUUUACUGAAGCAUCUCUAGAGCCACAACAACGGGUGAAACACCAGGGACAGUUAGCAAAUAUUUGCUAAGCAAAUGAAAGACUACACGACAAGAGCAAAAGAAGUGCAGGAAUGGGCCCAUGCUUAUGGUAUUCACUGGUCUUACCAUGUUCUUCAUGAUGCUGAAGCAGCUGGCUUCAUAGAAUAUUGUAAUGGCCCUUUGAAGACUCAAUUACAGCACCAGCUAAGUAGUAAUACCUUGCAGGGCUGGGGCAAGUUUCUCCAGAAGGCUGAAUAUGCUCUGAAUUAGUAUCUAAUUUAUGGUGCUAUUUCUCCCCUAGCCAGGAUUCACAGAUCCAGGAAUCAAUGGGGUGGAAAUGGGAGUGGCACCACUCACCAUCACCCCUAGCGACCCACUAGCAAAAUGUUUGCUUCCUGUUCUUGAGACUUUAUGCUUUGCUGGCCUAGAGGUCUUAGUUCCAGAAGGAAGAAUGCUGCCAUCAGAAGACAAAACAAUGAUUUCACUGAGCUGGAAGUCAAGACUGCCACCCCGCCACUUGGGGCUUUUCAUGCCUUUGAGUCAACAGGUUAAGAGAGAAGAAGGAAGGAAGAGCCAAUGAUUAGUAACUGUGCAGAGCCAGGAUCAAAAACUCAAAUACCCACAGGGGCCAGGUAAUAAAGCAAGUAAAUGAAGG